rnacentral:rRNA from 1 species
UACGUAGGGUGCAAGCGUUGUCCGGAAUUAUUGGGCGUAAAGAGCCCGUAGGCGGUCUGUUGCGUCCGCUGUGAAAACUCGGGGCUUAACCCCGAGCCUGCAGUGGAUACGGGCAGACUAGAGGUAGGUAGGGGAGAAUGGAAUUCCCGGUGUAGCGGUGAAAUGCGCAGAUAUCGGGAGGAACACCGGUGGCGAAGGCGGUUCUCUGGGCCUUACCUGACGCUGAGGAGCGAAAGCGUGGGGAGCGAACAGG